rnacentral:lncRNA from 1 species
CAAGUACAAUAACCUCAGUUUGAUCUGAGUUUAGAUUUCUGCAGUUUAACUAAUUGGUGUGCAUUAUUUGGCUUCAUGGAUAGAUGGAAAUUGGGUGUCGUCUGCAUAGCAAUAAAAAUAUGGUGGGGGUGGCUUGGGCGUGGCUGCAGGAGAGGCUGAGACACGCUGGAGCUCCAUCAGCUCAUCACGCCUGCCAUGUACAAAAUAUGCCGGGAACUGAGGUUGGGAUUGUUGUUGUGAGUGUGCUGAAGUCCGGUCACAGCUGAGACAGAGAACUGUAAGAACAACAACCGAAUAAAGAAGUGUAUGAAACGUACGAACUAUGUGGUUGGUCUGUCAUUCAUGUCACAUACACUAUGCCUUCUAAUGACAAGGGAAGCAUGUAUAAUGUAAACAGAAUUGGUCCUAGCACUGAACCCUGUGGAACACCAUAAUUAACCUCAGUGUGUGAAGAGGACUCUCCAUUUACAUGCACAAAUUGGAGUCUAUUAGAUAGAUAUGAUACAAACCACUGCAGUGCAGUACCUGUAAUACCUACAGCAUGUUCUAAUCGCUCUAAUAGGAUAUUAUGGUCGACAGUAUGGAACGCUGCACUGAGGUCUAGCAGGACAAGCACACUUACUUCUUUCUAAUGUCUAAUAGAUAUAUUUGUCUCUUUGGUAUUCACCAACCAGCACUAUGGAAAUGCUUCAGUGACUGUACAGACUCCCCAAACUUGGACCAACCCACAGUGAGAGCGCUGCCUGUCAGUCAGGCUCCACCUAGUUAUCUGGACCUACCACCAGGGAUAGUUCCCGUCUGUCCUCACGAGAAACCUCCAGGCUACGGCAGCAUUGUGAGCUGAGGCCACACCCCCUCAAACAGAUGCCACUGCCGUCCAAUCACAUUCAGCAUUCUGACUUUUAUUUGUGCUUCAAAGUUUCUCUUAAACAGACUGAUCAUUUUGCCUGUUACUGAUUAUCAUCGAUUAUGUUAUUAAUUGCUUCUGAUUGAUCUUGUUGUAACGGUUAAAUAAAGCAGUGUCAUCUUUAUUAAUAAUUAGAGAGCUUCGAAUAAUGACAACACAGUAGAAAUGAUACAGGUGUAAUACCUGGAGAUGACCACCCGAUGGCGCUGUGUGGUCAGUAACAUCAUCACAGGUGAGACAGAGUUUUCUAAACCUCACUUCUUGAGAUGUGUCUGAGGCCGAAAGCAGCUCCUCACACUGUCUCUGUGUGCAAUAAAAAGGACAUUUUGGACAUGUUUUCCUGAUGUGGCAUCUUUAAUGGGCCAUAAAAGGCCGAAUGAGCCGAUUCUCCAAAGGCAGGUUUUCAAUAUUUGCUGUCAGAGAUGAUUAAGUGACCUAAAAACUUACCUCAUAACUUGUAAAUCAUAAUAAAGGACUUUGUUGUAUCAUGGUUAUAUUACAUCUUUGGAAAGAUCAGACAGCAGGUUCAAUCCUCUGAGAGAAAACUAAAGGAUUACUCAUCGAAACAUCAUGGGGCGACCGUGGUUUAGGGGGUUGGGAAGCGCAUCUGCAACCGGAAGGUCGCCGGUUUGAUCCCCGGCCUUUCUGUCCUGGUCGUUGUGUCCUUGGGCAAGACACUUUACCCUACCGCCUACUGGUGUUGGCCAGAGGGGCCGAUGGCGCGACAUGGCAGCCUCGCCUCUGUCAGUCUGCCCCAGGGCAGCUGUGGCUACAACAGUAGCUUGCCUCCACCAGUGUGUGAAUGUGAGAGUGAAUGAAUAGUGGCAUUGUAAAGCGCUUUGGGUGCCUUGAAAAGCGCUAUAUAAAUCCAAUCCAUUAUUAUUAUUAUUAUCAUCAGGAUAUGUGGACUUCCUGUUAUACAGGAACGACAUCAUGAACCUGCUGUUAGUGUAAAGUUACAUGAGAUAAAGUUUGUGUUAAACUCAGGAUAAAACAAGCCACACAGGACGUUUUCACGACAAAGCAGAAAGUUUCAGGUGAACUCAGAGAUGAUGAGGGUACCUGUAAAGAGCAUCCUGAAUAGUCUCAAACAGCAUGUUCAAGAUUCGUGUUUGAACCACACAGCAGAUACACACUGUGGUACAUACAGGUGUGCCAUAGCUGGAUUCAGACAGCUUACCUGUGGAUGAGGAGUCCUGCUUAGGGUCCUGGAUUUGUCUGAAUUAUUUCCAAAAUAAACUUCCCUUACAGGAAGGUGAGAGGGGAUCAUCUUGUUCAGAAAGGUAGAGAUCAUAGAAUAAAUAAAAAAGCAAAAUAUUCAAUAAAGAUUUCAUGAUCAGAACGUGAGUACACGCAAGCCAAAGAAUCCAA